rnacentral:rRNA from 1 species
AUUAAAAACCAAUGCCCUUCGGGGCUCUCUGGUGAUUCAUGAUAACUUCUCGAAUCGCAUGGCCUUGCGCCGGCGAUGGUUCAUUCAAAUUUCUUCCCUAUCUACUUUCGAUGUUUGGGUAUUGGCCAAACAUGGUUGCAACGGGUAACGGAGGGUUAGGGCUCGACCCCGGAGAAGGAGCCUGAGAAACGGCUACUACAUCCAAGGAAGGCAGCAGGCGCGCAAAUUACCCAAUCCCGACUCGGGGAGGUAGUGACAAUAAAUACUGAUACAGGGUUCCUUUGGAUCUUGUAAUUGGAAUGAGUACAAUUUAAAUCCCUUAACGAGGAACAAUUGGAGGGCAAGUCUGGUGCCAGCAGCCGCGGUAAUUCCAGCUCCAAUAGCGUAUAUUAAAGUUGUUGUGGUUAAAAAGCUCGUAGUUGAACCUUGGGCCUGGCUGGCCGGUCCGCCUCACCGCGUGUACUGGUCCGGCCGGGCCUUUCCCUCUGUGGAACCCUAUGCCCUUCACUGGGUGUAGC